rnacentral:rRNA from 1 species
CGCAGCCGCGGUAAUUCCAGCUCCAAUAGCGUAUAUUAAAGUUGUUGCAGUUAAAAAGCUCGUAGUUGAAUUUCGGGGUUAGUAGGUUGGUCAUGCCUCCGGUAUGUACUGAUCUCACUGAUUCCUCCUUCCUUAUGAACCGUAAUGCCAUUAAUUUGGUGUUGCGGGGAAUCUGGACUGUUACUUUGAAAAAUUAGAGCGUUUAAAGCAGGCUAACGCUUGAAUACAUUAGCAUGGAAUAAUGAAAUAGGACGUUCGAUCUUAUUUUGUUGGUUUCUAGGAUUGACGUAAUGAUUAAUAGGGAUAGUUGGGGGCAUUAGUAUUCAAUUGUCAGAGGUGAAAUUCUUGGAUUUAUUGAAGACUAACUACUGCGAAAGCAUUUGCCAAGGAUGUUUUCAUUAAUCAAGAACGAAAGUUAGGGGAUCGAAGACGAUCAGAUACCGUCGUAGUCUUAACCAUAAACUAUGCCGACUAGGGAUCGGAUGAUGUUAAUUUUUAAUGACUCAUUCGGCGCCUUACG